rnacentral:rRNA from 1 species
UGGGGAAUUUUGGACAAUGGGCGCAAGCCUGAUCCAGCCAUGCCGCGUGCAGGAUGAAGGCCUUCGGGUUGUAAACUGCUUUUGUACGGAACGAAAAGGCUCUUUCUAAUAAAGAGGGCUCAUGACGGUACCGUAAGAAUAAGCACCGGCUAACUACGUGCCAGCAGCCGCGGUAAUACGUAGGGUGCAAGCGUUAAUCGGAAUUACUGGGCGUAAAGCGUGCGCAGGCGGUGAUGUAAGACAGUUGUGAAAUCCCCGGGCUCAACCUGGGAACUGCAUCUGUGACUGCAUCGCUGGAGUGCGGCAGAGGGGGAUGGAAUUCCGCGUGUAGCAGUGAAAUGCGUAGAUAUGCGGAGGAACACCGAUGGCGAAGGCAAUCCCCUGGGCCUGCACUGACGCUCAUGCACGAAAGCGUGGGGAGCAAACAGGAUUAGAUACCCCCGUAGUCC